rnacentral:rRNA from 1 species
CGCCUUGCCAGCCCGCUCAGAAACUUAAAUGAAUUGACGGGGGCCCGCACAAGCGGUGGAGCAUGUGGUUUAAUUCGAUGGUACGCGGGGAACCUUACCUGGGCUCAAAUGUAUGUUGACGUAUUCUGAAAGGGAUACUUCUUCGGACAAUAUACAAGGUGCUGCAUGGUUGUCGUCAGCUCGUGCCGUGAGGUGUCGGGUUAAGUCCCAUAACGAGCGCAACCCCUAUCAUUAGUUGCCAUCAGGUCAAGCUGGGGACUCUAAUGAAACUGCCUACGCAAGUAGUGAGGAAGGUGGGGAUGACGUCAAGUCAUCAUGGCCCUUACGGCCUGGGCUACACACGUGCUACAAUGGUCGGUACAAAGGGUUGCCAAGCCGCGAGGUGGAGCUAAUCCCAUAAAACCGAUCGUAGUCCGGAUCGCAGUCUGCAACUCGACUGCGUGAAGUCGGAAUCGCUAGUAAUCGUGAAUCAGAAUGUCACGGUGAAUACGUUCCCGGGCCUU